rnacentral:lncRNA from 1 species
UGUCGAUGUGGAUAGAUUACGUGGUGGGAUAAGAGGAGAACCGAGUCAAGAGGGGAUCAACUAACGUUAGUGAGGUUGUUGGAGCUAGCAAGCUAAAUCUAUCAACCCCUCGUUGUGUCCGAAGUGAUCUUCUUCAACUUAGUUUGAGAUUUUGAUCCGUUUGGUGGUUUAAGUUCACCAAUCUUAGAAGUAAUGCACAGC